UACGUAGGCAGCGAGCGUUGUUCGGAAUUACUGGGCGUAAAGAGUGUGUAGGCGGUGCUCUAAGUUCGGUGUGAAAUCUCCUGGCUUAACUGGGAGGGUGCGCCGGAAACUGGAGUGCUUGAGCGUGGGAGAGGAAAGCGGAAUUCCUGGUGUAGCGGUGAAAUGCGUAGAUAUCGGGAGGAACACCAGUGGCGAAGGCGACUACCUGGCCUGUUCUUGACGCUGAGGCGCGAAAGCUAGGGGAGCAAACGGG
rnacentral:rRNA from 1 species